rnacentral:rRNA from 1 species
GACGAACGCUGGCGGCGUGCCUAACACAUGCAAGUCGAACGGGGUAAGAAGCUUCGGUUUCUUACUUAGUGGCGAACGGGUGAGUAACGCGUGAGAAACCUGCCUUUCAGUGGGGGACAACAGUUGGAAACGACUGCUAAUACCGCAUAAUGUUAUUUGAGGGCAUCCUCGAAUAACCAAAGAUUUAUUGCUGAAAGAUGGUCUCGCGUCUGAUUAGCUAGAUGGCGGGGUAACGGUCCACCAUGGCGACGAUCAGUAGCCGGUCUGAGAGGAUGAACGGCCACAUUGGGACUGAGAUACUGCCCAGACUCCUACAGGAGGCAGCAGUGGGGAAUAUUGGGCAAUGGGGGAAACCCUGACCCAGCAACGCCGCGUGAAGGAAGAAGGCCUUCGGGUUGUAAACUUCUUUUACCAGGGACGAACAAAUGACGGUACCUGGAGAAAAAGCAACGGCUAACUACGUGCCAGCAGCCGCCGUAAUAC